AACAUAUUCAGAGACCAGCAUGGCAAAACAGUGCUUACAGAAAUACAAGUCAGGUUCCACUGAUGAAACACGAGAUGUUGAAGUAGACCAUUUGAAGAGUGUACAGCUCUAGAAAGAAAAUCAGGAUCUUAAGGAAGAGAAUCAAAAUCUUAAGGAAAUGCUCUUCAAAGAGAUUUUGCACAGAUCCAUGAACAAUAUCAGGCGUUCAUCAACUCCAGAAGUGGAUCCUCCAACUACACCAAAAUCAGGAAAUUCAAUGAAGACCGGAACCCCAACCCAGGUUCUUGACAAGGUAGAACUAUAUCCAGGUACUGGGGUGCUCUGUGACAAACUUGUGUGGGCUUUAGCCAACAAUUCACACACAGCAACAUCAUUUGUGCGCACUCUUCUUGUGAAUCUAUUCCCUUUGGAUGUUUUGCUGAAAAGUAACUUGAGGGAGGAGCAAAGACACCACAGAGCACAGACCUGCAUUAGAUGCAACAAAGAUUGAUGCCAUCUACAGAGCAACUUUGCAGAAGUGGCCUAAUGCCCCACAGGCUGUUAUUGGCUCAGCAUUGAAUGGCAAGUUGGCUGAACUUCGCAAUAAAAGUAAACAAAAACUACAGCAUACAUGGACUCAAAGUGAGGGAGAUGUGAGCACUGAAUGAGUAUGUCAUAAUGUAGCCUUGAUUUAAUAGGAAUCCAAAUAAUUCCAGUUCUUCCAGUUCUGAUUACAUGUUAAAGUUCUGAUUUGUGUUUUGCAAAUGGCAUGUAAGGUGUAAGGAGUUUGUGUAUAACAUGUUUGAUAAAUAAUUUCAAUCUGUUAUUUGCACACACACAAAAAAUAAUAUGUGGUAUAAUGUACACCAUUGUUUAACUUGGCUAUUUUGCCUAAGCUUUUCCAACAGGAUUAUAUGUUUUUGUCAUGUUAGGUUGCUUGUUGUUGUUCUUGGAAUAAUACUUUUUUUAUUUUUAUCAAACCACUAUUGGAAGAGAAGCCAUUUAGAGAUGGCCCUAAGUUGUCCUAAAAACGGCCAGUGUAAACGCACCAUUAGACUUUUAUAACAUGCAGGAUCACAUCUCUGAGUAUGGAAAGCCAAAUUAUCAUUUAGAGAUAUAUCACAUUGCAUUUUAAGAUAUCUGGAAAUGAUGUAGAGAUAUAUUUACAGAGUUUUCAAAAAAUAUACUUUUGUCAUAAUGUCACUUUGUUUAAUAUGCUUAUCCUUUUGUUGAUUCUCAUUUUGUUAGUGAGAUUGCUAUCCACACAUUAUUUGCAAUAAGAGUGUGCCAGCUAUUGUCCACAACUGUAUAAUGGGGAAUAAUAUGUGAUUACUUAAAACACUUCAGUAUAAAUGUUAUUUUAAUUGUGUUUUUUAAUUUGCAGUUGUAAAACUUUGAAAUAAAAGCAAU